rfam:TPA: Bos taurus chromosome 5, whole genome shotgun sequence.
UCCCUGGUGGCUCAGACGGUAAAGCGUCUGUCUACAAUGAGGGAGACCCGGGUUCGAUUCCUGGCUUGGGAA